rnacentral:miRNA from 1 species
ACUAAGAUCCGUGUAGCUAAUCUC